AUCUUGAAAACGGAAAAUAAAAACAGCAGACCUAUGAAGGUCAAAGGGGAAGUUAAGAAAAGCUGUAUCGAUUGUUGAGAUCUGGCGACUUGCUUAAAUUUCAUCAGCCUCACUUCUAUGGACUCUCAGAGCUGAUUACCAACUCCUACCACUGUUAACCCUCAUCCAGGAACAAGCUUAUGUCUUUAACAUUCUGAGUGGGCUUCAGCAUCCUUGCAUAUGUUCAAUUCUUAAAAACCUGUUGAAAUAAAAGAUCAGGAGACAUAGGAGGGAUGCCAGAAGACAGCGUGGCCUCACGUGUACCAGCUCUCUGCUCUCCUUUGCCUUGGGACGUUCCAUCCCUGGAAGUUUCCCUGCCCACAUCUUUGUAGAGAGUCCAUUCUCCAAGCUUCAGUGUGUCAUCUGUUAGGACUAUGACCCACCUGGUACAUUACCUCAGGGCAUUCAUUUCAGGCUCCUUCUAAGUGGUCAAGGAUCUUGGAAGCAGAGGGAUCUACAGAAGUGCUUGCAACAGUUUCAGCCUCAUCCAGCAUCAGAGACAAAAAUCUUUUCUGGAAUGAGGUAAACCUCAGGUUCUCCUCCUGCCUUUUGCUAAGUAUAUGUCUUGAUGACAAGCCUUCUGCUAAUGAGCUGUGUUUCUGGACCGAUCAUGGUAGAAGUCAAUUGAAGUGUCCCUCACUUGGGGUUUCUUAAGGCUGCACUGAUGAGGAAACUGAAACAGAAAAUCCAGAGUAAAUUCCACCAGGCCACACAGCAAGGUCUGAUAGAGCCAGGAGAGACUUUAUGAAAUCCAGACUCUCACACUAAUGCUCUAUCAGCUAGA
rnacentral:lncRNA from 1 species